rnacentral:rRNA from 1 species
UGCGCAGGCGGCCAAGUGUGUGAGGCGUGAAAGCCCGGGGCUUAACCCCGGAAUUGCACCUCAAACUACAUGGCUAGAGUAUUGGAGAGGGUAACGGAAUUCACGGUGUAGCAGUGAAAUGCGUAGAUAUCGUGAGGAACACCAGAGGCGAAGGCGGUUACCUGGACAAUUACUGACGCUCAGGCACGAAAGCGUGGGGAGCAAAAGGGAUUAGAUACCCCUGUAGUCCACGCCCUAAACGGUGCACACUAGGUCUUGGCGGAUUCGACCCCACCAGGGCCCAAGCUAACGCGUUAAGUGUGCCGCCUGAGGACUACGGCCGCAAGGCUAAA